rnacentral:rRNA from 1 species
UACGGAGGGGACUAGCGUUGUUCGGAAUUACUGGGCGUAAAGCGCACGUAGGCGGCUUUGUAAGUUAGAGGUGAAAGCCCGGAGCUCAACUCCGGAACUGCCUUUAAGACUGCAUCGCUUGAAUCCGGGAGAGGUGAGUGGAAUUCCGAGUGUAGAGGUGAAAUUCGUAGAUAUUAGGAAGAACACCAGUGGCGAAGGCGGCUCACUGGUCCGGUACUGACGCUGAGGUGCGAAAGCGUGGGGAGCAAACAGG